ACAAGUCAGGGGCAUUCAAGCAUGUAGGAGGGAGUUUAAAGAACUUUAAGGGAGAGUGUGCAUUUUAUUUGACAAAUGUAAAUAGCAGUGUAUACCAGUACUGAUUGAAUACAUUUGGAAAGUAACAGUUAGUUUGCAGACUGUCUCUCCCAGCAUGAGAUACUGCAGGGACAUGCUUGGAUGCCCCUAGACAUGCUUGGAUGCCCUAGGCAAAUGCCUAGCCUGCCUAUAGCUAAGGCCGGCUCUGUGCAAAGGAUCUAUUCACAUGGGCGAUCGCAAAAAGAUUGACAAAAAGAGGCCGUUUGUGGGUGUCAACUGACUGUUUUCAGGGAGUGUCUGACGUCAGCUUCAGCCCCGAUCAUCAGGAUUCCAUUGCACAGGAAGAAGCAAGAUGUGUCUUUUUUUCAGACGGAAAUGUGAACAUCAGUGAACUUAAUCCAAGACAUUCCAGUGAACCAGCUUCCAUCCAGUCCAUCUGAAACAGAUAUUGAAUCCUAGGUAGCAGCAAAGAAAACGGGAUCGGUGUCGUGUCAACCCAUCUAGAGGGAAUGGUCUUUUUGGAUGCCAUGACCAAUUUGUUAAGCAACAGUCGUGCCCCUUUAGAUAAGACCAUACCAUCUCCCUGUGGUGUCAAAAUAAACCUGUAAGUCAGUCCAACAUUGUGUGACUAUCGGGUAGUCCCACAAACAAUGUAUGAUGUCCACAUUUGGAGAAUCACACGUAAAACAAUUAGAGUCUGCGGAAUAUCCUGUUAGGAAGCGGAAUUUAGGCGUACGUUGGGGGUAAUUCUGAGUUGAUCGCAGCAGCAAGUUUGUUAGCAAUUGGGCAAAACCAUGUGCACUGCAGGGGGGCAGAUAUAACAUUUGCAGAGAGAGUUAGAUUUGGGUUGGUUAUUUUGUUUCUGUGCAGGGUAACUGCUAACAAAAUUGCUGCAGCGAUCAACUCAGAAUUAGGCCCAAUAUGCCUUGUGGAGAAUUCUGUGUAUGUGAACGCCACCAGUUGUUUAUUCAUCUGUAAAUAGGGUGAGAGAAUCUUUUUCAUGGAGAGAUUAGGAAAGUCUAUCUGCCAUUUUAAUAACCCAACUGUGUUGGACUCUAUGUUAAGUGUUUUCCUGAAAUGGGAAUAAAUGUGUGAAGUAGUAAUGAU